rnacentral:rRNA from 1 species
AUUGAACGCUGGCGGCAGGCCUAACACAUGCAAGUCGAACGGUAGCACAGAGAGCUUGCUCUCGGGUGACGAGUGGCGGACGGGUGAGUAACGUCUGGGAAACUGCCCGAUGGAGGGGGAUAACUACUGGAAACGGUAGCUAAUACCGCAUAACGUCGCAAGACCAAAGUGGGGGACCUUCGGGCCUCACACCAUCGGAUGUGCCCAGAUGGGAUUGGCUAGUAGGUGGGGUAAUGGCUCACCUAGGCGACGAUCCCUAGCUGGUCUGAGAGGAUGACCAGCCACACUGGAACUGAGACACGGUCCAGACUCCUACGGGAGGCAGCAGUGGGGAAUAUUGCACAAUGGGCGCAAGCCUGAUGCAGCCAUGCCGCGUGUAUGAAGAAGGCCUUCGGGUUGUAAAGUACUUUCAGCGGGGAGGAAGGCGGUGAAGUUAACAGCUUCACCGAUUGACGUUACCCGCAGAAGAAGCACCGGCUAACUCCGUGCCAGCCGCCGCUGUAA